ensembl:lncRNA
GUGCCGUGUGCAGCCCUGCUGCACUCAGCCCACAGAUGCCAAUGCCGCCAUCUUGAGUGGAGAUGGCAUAGCCUCCCUUUGGCACCAGAAACUCCAGAGGGAAGAGCCUGGGGCAAGGCCUCCACGCAGCAUCCCAGGAGCAAAUAAAGCUGAACUAAGACAAAGGAAAAAACAAGCAGUGAAGAUACCAGGACAUAACUCCUGGAUUCACUACUCACGAGUCAAGCCAUGAAAGAAAACAGAAGAGGACACGCAAUACACACGUCAACCAGCUACAACAUGCAGUGCCAAUUCAGCAAGGAUAUAUAAAACUCCAGCUGACCGCAGAGACUAUCACCCCCUUUAGAUGGACACUGCUAUAAGGACUCUGAGGCUUGAGACUAGCAAGAGGGGGGAGGCCCAAUGCCCCUCACCAUCCCAGUUCAUCAGG